CCUCGGCUGCCUUUCCUCUAUGCCCUAGCAUCUCUGCCGAUGCCACUGUCUCUCUUUCUCCCGACGCCGAGCAGCACCGAGCCCUAGGUGCCAACGCCGUCGACGCCUUUUUCCGACCUCUUCUGUGCCACUCCGAGACUCCUUGUCCGAGUUCUCACCGUGCCCUAGCCCCCGCUCAGCAGAUAGCCGGCUGCCAACACUCAAAGCAAUUGUCGAUUUGUAGCCUCUGCCCUAGCCUCUGUUUCCGACGCUGGUAAGGGUUCUGCCGUGGCCACCACUUGGGAUCUGUAUGUCGUCGUCGCCCCUUUGCUCUGGUUUACUGCCUCAGUAGCCCUUGCUGGAAACAACACCGGUGACCUAACUCCUCCGUCCUCUAAUCCAGUGAGCUACUGGAUGAAGCAUCAAGAGUUUGUUGCUGUCUCUGUUUGAUUCCGGCCACCACCCCCUGUCAACAGCUUGGCACACCUGAGUAGGAAGGAUUCCAGCAGCAAACGAUCCUACUUCCAACAGUGA